GCGGACGCCCCAACCCCGUGGCCCCCUCGAACCCCACGUGCUUCCUAAAAACACUUAGAACCGUUCCAAUACCUUUAGUACCACGCUCGGCUCAGGCCCAUCCUCAGCUCAGAGCGCGGUAGCACUGUCCUCCCGCCCAGGAGGUUUAAGGCCUGGCUAAACUCCGCCCCCCACCGCCCUGGCCAAUCAGGAGCCACGUCCUCCGGCGCGCUCCUUCCCCGCCCCGCCUCCCGUCUCCAUGGGAACGAUCUGAGCGUCUACUCCGCGUCCUGGGGCGUCGGUUUCGGUCCCGCCCGGCUGCGGCCGUUGUUUGCUGGGACAGUCCUUGGGCCGGUCUCCGUCCCUGUCCAGAGGCUCCGUACGUGAGGCGGACUCUCGGGAGCACCGAGCCGGGCGCGGAUAAGGGCGAGGACAGCUGUUGCAGGAACGGGGGCAGAAAAGGAGGACCAGGGGCCGAGAAGCCGCUCUGGCUACGAAAUCUCAGACACCGUUGUAAAUGGGUGCUUCACAGCCGCCCGCCCCACGUUAAAACUGAAGAAGAGGUGCAAGGAGGCGGAAGCAGCUUGGGCCUCGGGACCGAGGGUCCUGUGAUCAGCAAGGGAGGACCAGAGAGGCUCAUGCCUCCGUUUUACAGCUCAGCCUUCUCGACCCUCCACCCUUCCCCAAAAAAGGAGCACAAAGGAGCAAGCAGGGGUCACGCCUUUCCUCACAGUCUGACCCGGGUGAGUAGGGGUCUUGUCUCAUCUCCCUCGACUUCUCCAUGGACUGUGGGAGUAGCUGAAGUGGCUGUGGGGACGGAGGGAGCAGACUGAAUAGAAACCGUUCCUCAUGUGCCUGAGAAGCUUUCGAGCCUCCUCUUCAGCAGGCCCUGCCUCCUGCCCAGGGCCCUUUCUAACAUUUUUCCCACUUACUCAGCCACUUAGGUCUGCUAUAUAGUCCAUACUGCUCUUGGUGACCAGAGAUAAAUAAGCAUGAGAACGUCUUUCCUGGAAGCUGCUGUGUGACACAGCAGGUGAAAGAUCUGACAUCGCCACAGGUGUGGCACCUGCAGCUCCGGUUCCAUCCCUGGCCCAGGAACGUCCACAUGCUGUGGACGUGGCCAAAGGAAAGAAGGCCUUUCCUUCGCCUCGGGGAAAUCAACCACAUGAGGUUAAUAAGAAUUUCUAAAAUUAUCACACAUUAAACAGUUCCAAAAUUAAGUGUCACUUUUAAGCAAAAGGCAGGAACAGGCAUUCAGAUUUGAGUAAAACCAUUGUGAACUGGCGGAUGUCAUUCCCGACAGGAAGCCCAUCAUUUAGUCGCAGGCAGAACAUGAGGAACAAACGAGGAAACCAGGCUAGUUGCAGGAGAGACUAAGUGUGAAUGGGUGAGGAAAGGCCGCGUUGCGGAGGCUCUGGUUUCUUACUCUGUGUACCACUCAGAUUCCGGGGCACACCAACCAGAGGCAGGCAUUGCUGACAUCCAGAUGGAUUUACUUCGUCUUUUAUCUAAUAAUAUACAUACGUACUCACUAAUCCAUACAAAUACUAGCAUGUAUGCACACCAGUACACAUAUGUACAAAUAUGCACAUUUACUUAAGAAAUAUAUAUAUAUAUAUAUAGAAGGAGAUUAGUAUAUAUAACACGUUUUGAAUCAGACAAAUAGGCUCCAGAGAGCAGCAACGUUCCUGGUGUGUAGAACUAUGCCUGACAUAUGGUGAGCAUUUGUGAAUAUUUGCUGAAUGUAUGAAUGGCUCGUAUAUGUGUAUUUUGCAUUUAACACAUAAAAUGGACAUUUUUCCAAGUAUGUUUUGGUGGCAUGAGUUUUAAGUG
rnacentral:lncRNA from 1 species